UAUCUCUCACUUCUCUCUCCCUCUCCAUCCUCCCUCUAUGCAAAAGGAGCAGUACAUUAGAAGUUAUUAUAACCCUUGCAGUUUGUUCAAAGCUAGCAACACAUCUUCUUGUAGUUCAUUUUAUGCCUUCCUUCUUUCUAACAGAUUUUGUUAAUCAUCCAAUCAUUUUGAUGCACUUAUUACUAGAAGUUUCUGCAGACCAGGCAUGAAAUAAACUUGGAGUUUCUAUUAGCUUGGACUCGAAGUCAGUUCUAGCUAGUUACCUUCUUUUGCAAGGUUCUCAUCUAUAAAUAUUUUAGUGUUGGAUGCUAUUGUUAUGACUGAACCUUAAGUACUUAGUGUAGAUUGCCAGCUAAAUUUGGCUGAUGCAGCAAGAAUUGGUACCAUAGUUUUACUCUCGUAGAUUUUUCUACUCAUCUUUUUAAGAUCAGUACUACUAUUAUAUAAUUCAGUUCAAGAGACAUUAUUCUCGAGAAAGAGAGAUCGUCCAUUACUUGUUUCUCAUCAUAUGUUCUCUUCUAUGUUUUCUUUCAUAUUUCAUGAAAUUUCAGUGAUGUUCAGACUUGGCCAUGAGGAUGAAAGAAUUAGACUUGGGUCUGUCUGCCAAUCUGCUGCCAUAGAUUUCUCCAAUGCCCAGCUUCAGAAUUUUCAGCAAGUCAUCGAAUCCAAUAAUCUGCACCAUCAUAUGCUGCUACUCAUUGAAUUUGUUAAUGAAACCCGUAUAUGCUUUUUACAGCAUACUUGGGUCUGUAGGUCGAUAAAUAGGAAAAGUCGAUUUUGUAUGGCACAUGGUAAUAUUGUUAAAAUAUCAACUUCUCAUUGGAGUACUAGUAUCAAACUUCUUUAUUUGUGUUUUAUUACAAGUUAUAUAGCUACCUCUGUUCCGAAUUAAAUUACAUUUUGGGGAACUAAUUUAAUUUGGAACAGAGGUAGUAUAUUAGUGUACUUCUAAGUUGAUACUGGUGGCAAACUUCUUUAUAAUCUUUAUC